rnacentral:tRNA from 1 species
GGAGGGAUGGCCGAGUGGAUGAAGGCGGCAGUCUUGAAAACUGCAGUCCUGAGGAAUCGGGACCGUGGGUUCGAAUCCUACUCCCUCCGCCA